rnacentral:rRNA from 2 species
CUGGUGUCAGCCGCCGCGGUAAUACCAGCACCCCGAGUGGUCGGGACGUUUAUUGGGCCUAAAGCAUCCGUAGCCGGUUCUACAAGUCUUCCGUUAAAUCCACCUGCUUAACAGAUGGGCUGCGGAAGAUACUAUAGAGCUAGGAGGCGGGAGAGGCAAGCGGUACUCGAUGGGUAGGGGUAAAAUCCGUUGAUCCAUUGAAGACCACCAGUGGCGAAGGCGGCUUGCCAGAACGCGCUCGACGGUGAGGGAUGAAAGCUGGGGGAGCAAACCGGAUUAGAUACCCGGGUAGUCCCAGCUGUAAACGAUGCAGACUCGGUGAUGAGUUGGCUUACUGCUAACUCAGUGCCGCAGGGAAGCCGUUAAGUUUGCCGCCUGGGGAGUACGGUCGCAAGACUGAAACUUAAAG